CACCUCUCCAGCUGCCACAUCUAAGUUGGAGGGGGGCUAGUCCCCCCGGGGAGGGCCAACUCCACUGUGCCUGCUCCUCCUGGCCAGUGCUGGUCCCCUGUCAGCCCCACAGCACCCAGUCUGUUCGUCAUCAGGUCGUCUUCACAGGCUCCUGGGGUUAGGCCUUGGGCACAUCUUUCGGGGACCACCAUUCAGCCCACCACUCCUGUUCCUCUUUCCAGCGUGGGAUGGUGUCUCCACACCGACUCGGAGAUGCAGGCGGUUUGCACUGUGACGGUUCGUGCGCUGGACCAGCAACCCGAUUACGUACUCCGGCCGCUCCCCAAGCACCUAAUGUUAGAAUGGCGGGGAGGGAGGGGCUGGAAGAGCAGACAUCCCGAGUAUUUGAGAUGCCAAGUCCCUGGAGAGACCCCGGUGCUCCCGGCCCUUGCCUGCGCAGAGCACCAGCCCCUGCUGGCCAGUGAAUGAGAUGUGACCCGCCCCAGUGCCCUGGCCAGAAGGAAGCCCAGCUCCGGCCUCCUGCCUCCCACUCUUCUGCUCUCCUGGGCUCCGCCAGAGGGAAACCCCAGCCAGGGGUUUGAAGGUGCCCUGCGGGAGAUGACCCCUCUCCUGACGUUGUGUCUCCAGGGACAGAAAGGUCAGUCCCAGAGAAGGAGCCCAGGAGACCGUGGUCCUAGGGGUGGUGCUCUCUUGCUUAAGGAAUGCUUGUGGCUCGUUUCAUGCAGUGCUAUUUAUUGAGCACCUGCUGUGCCCCAGGCCCUGUACGAGGCUUGAGAUCCACCAGGGAACAGAACAGAAAGCACCCUCCCCUCCAGGAACUUGCAUCCCAGUGUGGGGAUUCAGACAAACAAAUGAACAAGUAAGCGUGAAGUAUGUAAAUUAGCGGUGAGGGCUGUGUAGAGAAACUUAGCUGGUUAAGGAGGGUCCGAGUUAGUACUUUACUGGGGCUGCUCUGGCCUCACUGAGAAGACAUUUGAGCAGAGAUCGAAUGAAUUGAGGAAACAAGUCACGUGCACUUCUGAGGGAAGAGUGUUCUAGGCCCUGGGAACAGCAGGUGCAAAGGCCCUGUGGUGGGAGCCUGCUGAGAGCAGCGAGGGGCCCCAAGAGGAAGGGUGGGAAGCAGAAGUGGGAGAGGAGGCCAGACAGGUGACACCAGGUCAGAAAGGACUGGUUAAUACCCAGGUGAGGAGGCAGUCAUCAAAGGGCUGGGUACACCACCUGGCUCUGUGCAGUGUGUGGUUGUCCCAGCUGCUGCACGGAGGAUGGCUGUGGUCGGAGCAAGCCUGGUGAGGACGCCCCAUCAAGUCAGGAGGCUUUGCAGCCAAACAGGGCAGGGACGGGCGGCCGCGGGGGUGGUGCAGGCUGGUCCGACUCCAGGUGUGUCUGCAGGUGGCCAGCUGGGACCUGCCAGUGGGUCGGGGGUGGAGCGCAAGGAGCCAGGCUUGCCUCAGCGCAGCUGGAAGUGGGCGCAGCGACCGG
rnacentral:lncRNA from 1 species